rnacentral:rRNA from 1 species
AGUCGAACGGAGAUUACUUCGGUAAUCUUAGUGGCGAACGGGUGAGCAACGCGUGGGCAACCUGCCCUCUAGAUGGGGACAACAUCCCGAAAGGGGUGCUAAUACCGAAUAUGACAGCAAUCUCGCAUGAGGAUGCUGUGAAAGAUGGCCUCUAUUUAUAAGCUAUCGCUAGAGGAUGGGCCUGCGUCUGAUUAGCUAGUUGGUGGGGUAACGGCCUACCAAGGCGAUGAUCAGUAGCCGGUCUGAGAGGAUGAACGGCCACAUUGGGACUGAGACACGGCCCAGACUCCUACGGGAGGCAGCAGUGGGGAAUCUUCCGCAAUGGGCGAAAGCCUGACGGAGCAAUGCCGCGUGAGUGAUGAAGGAAUUCGUUCCGUAAAGCUCUUUUGUUUAUGACGAAUGUGCAGGUUGUGAAUAAUGACUUGUAAUGACGGUAGUAAACGAAUAAGCCACGGCUAACUACGUGCCAGCAGCCGCGGUAAUACGUAGGUGGCGAGCGUUGUCCGGAAUUAUUGGGCGUAAAGAGCAUGUAGGCGGUUUUUUAAGUCUGGAGUGAAAAUGCGGGGCUCAACCCCGUAUGGCUCUGGAUACUGGAAGACUUGAGUGCAGGAGAGGAAAGGGGAAUUCCCAGUGUAGCGGUGAAAUGCGUAGAUAUUGGGAGGAACACCAGUGGCGAAGGCGCCUUUCUGGACUGUGUCUGACGCUGAGAUGCGAAAGCCAGGGUAGCGAACGGG